GCCUGGGUGGCUCAGUCGGUUAAGCAUCUGACUUUGGCUCAGGUCAUGAUCUCAAGGUUUGUGGGUUCGAGCCCACGUCGGGCU
rfam:Felis catus isolate Cinnamon breed Abyssinian chromosome A1, whole genome shotgun sequence.